rnacentral:rRNA from 1 species
UGGCCUACGGGAGGCAGCAGUGAGGAAUAUCGGUCAAUGGGCGGGAGCCUGAACCAGCCAAGCCGCGUGAGGGAAGAAGGUACAGCGUAUCGUAAACCUCUUUUGUCAGGGAACAAAGGCGGGGACUAGUCCCCGGAUGAGGGCACCUGAAGAAAAAGCAUCGGCUAACUCCGUGCCAGCAGCCGCGGUAAUACGGAGGAUGCGAGCGUUAUCCGGAUUUAUUGGGUUUAAAGGGUGCGCAGGCGGCCUGUUAAGUCAGCGGUAAAAGACCGGGGCUCAACACCGGCGAGCCGUCGAAA